rnacentral:rRNA from 1 species
UACAUAGGUCUCAAGCGUUGUUCGGAUUUAUUGGGCGUAAAGGGUGCGUAGGCGGCGCGGUAAGUCGGGUGUGAAAUCUCGGAGCUUAACUCCGAAACUGCAUUCGAUACUGCCGUGCUUGAGGACUGGAGAGGAGACUGGAAUUUACGGUGUAGCGGUGAAAUGCGUAGAUAUCGUAAGGAAGACCAGUGGCGAAGGCGGGUCUCUGGACAGUUCCUGACGCUGAGGCACGAAGGUCAGGGGAGCAAACGGG